GUGGGGAAUAUUGCACAAUGGGCGCAAGCCUGAUGCAGCAACGCCGCGUGAGGGACGACGGCCUUCGGGUUGUAAACCUCUUUUAGUAGGGAAGAAGCGAAAGUGACUGUACCUGCAGAAAAAGGACCGGCUAACUACGUGCCAGCAGCCGCGGUAAUACGUAGGGUCCGAGCGUUGUCCGGAAUUAUUGGGCGUAAAGAGCUCGUAGGCGGUUUGUCGCGUCUGCUGUGAAAACCCGGGGCUCAACCUCGGGCCUGCAGUGGGUACGGGCAGACUAGAGGGCGGUAGGGGAGAUUGGAACUCCUGGUGUAGCGGUGGAAUGCGCAGAUAUCAGGAAGAACACCGAUGGCGAAGGCAGAUCUCUGGGCCGUUACUGACGCUGAGGAGCGAAAGCAUGGGGAGCGAACAGG
rnacentral:rRNA from 1 species